CCAAUAGCGUAUAUUAAAGUUGUUGCCGUUAAAAAGCUCGUAGUUGAAUUUCGGGAUCAAUAUAUCGGUCAUGCUUAGGUAUGUACUGGUAUUAUUGAUUUCUCCCUUCUGAAGAACCAUGAUGUCAUUUAUUUGAUGUCGUGGGGAAUCAGGACUGUUACUUUGAAAAAAUUAGAGUGUUUAAAGCAGGCUUUCGCUUGAAUACAUUAGCAUGGAAUAAUGAAAUAGGACGUUUGAUUCUAUUUUGUUGGUUUCUAGGAUCGACGUAAUGAUUAAUAGGGAUAGUUGGGGGCAUUAGUAUUCAAUUGUCAGAGGUGAAAUUCUUGGAUUUAUUGAAGACUAACUACUGCGAAAGCAUUUGCCAAGGAUGUUUUCAUUAAUCAAGAACGAAAGUUAGGGGAUCGAAGACGAUCAGAUACCGUCGUAGUCUUAACCAUAAACUAUGCCGACUAGGGAUCGGAUGAUGUUAAUUUUUUAAUGACUCAUUCGGCGCCUUACG
rnacentral:rRNA from 1 species